rnacentral:tRNA from 1 species
AAGGGAGACCUAAUUCAGGUAUGGGAUGAAAAAAAAGUAGUCGCUACCAAGAAUCAAUCCCAAAAGGUCGGAGCGAGGUAUGAGGCUUUCAAACUAGGUUCUGGGUUCAAACAAGACCUGAAUCAGGAACAAGGGCUAUUAGCUCAGGUGGUUAGAGCGCACCCCUGAUAAGGGUGAGGUCCCUGGUUCGAGUCCAGGAUGGCCCACCUGCACAGGUGGCAAAAACAAGAGAAGCUCCGAAUCAGCACCUUAUCUUAUCUAUAUAUAAGAGAGAAUGCUGGCCCUGGGUACAGAGUCCAGAGGAACCUUGAAAACUGCAUAGAGCUAGGUGAAAAAGCCAAAAAAGAAGACCGCAA